AUUGAACGCUGGCGGCAUGCUUUACACAUGCAAGUCGAACGGUAACAGGCCGCAAGGUGCUGACGAGUGGCGAACGGGUGAGUAAUGCAUCGGAACGUGCCCAGUCGUGGGGGAUAACGCAGCGAAAGCUGCGCUAAUACCGCAUACGAUCUAUGGAUGAAAGCGGGGGACCGUAAGGCCUCGCGCGAUUGGAGCGGCCGAUGUCAGAUUAGGUAGUUGGUGGGGUAAAGGCUCACCAAGCCAACGAUCUGUAGCUGGUCUGAGAGGACGACCAGGCACACUGGGACUGAGACACGGCCCAGACUCCUACGGGAGGCAGCAGUGGGGAAUUUUGGACAAUGGGCGCAAGCCUGAUCCAGCAAUGCCGCGUGAAGGAAGAAGGCCUUCGGGUUGUAAACUGCUUUUGUACGGAACGAAACGGUCCUGGUUAAUACCUGGGGUCCAUGACGGUACCGUAAGAAUAAGCACCGGCUAACUACGUGCCAGCCGCCGCCGUAA
rnacentral:rRNA from 1 species